CCCUACCACUGUGACAAGACAGAAGCACAUAAAGGCACAAUUUAUGGCUCACUUUCCAGAUUUGGAUUUGGUAGAUAGAAAUAAAAACAGUGAUCAAUAUACAUCUCUGUGCCCUGCUGCUGACAAGGAAAAUGCACAUGGACAAAGCCAUAACUCAGCUGAUGUGCAGGAAUUUUCCUACAUCACGCGGGCUCUCCUACCAGCCAAGGAAUGAGCAUGACUUCAUCCCAAACCCGUCCUCAAAAUUCCCGAGUCAUCCCGCUGGGUUCAGAUAUGGCUCACUGAGAAAGGUUUCUCUGGAGGAAGUUCCGUGGUUUGGGUGCAGUUUCUGGCAUCAUGCUCCUGCUUCUCUUUCUGGCUGCCUUUUGCUCUGUACAGAAGAACUUGCAAGCUCUCAUUCAUAGAUAGAGCCAGAGAGGCAUUGGG
ensembl:lncRNA